AAAAAAAAAAGUUAGGUUAGGUUUCAUUGUUUCUCAUCCGACGUCGAGCACUCGAGCCCCUCGGGCUUCGGGUGCUCCGGCCUUUAUUUUCUUUGUCAAUGCUGGGAACGUGAAAACUCUUGUCUCGUACCUACUCUCUUAGUCAUGACUCAAGUCUCAAAGUCUUAAACUCAUAAAGCCGUAUCCGAUGGUGUGCCGAGUGAUGAACAAUAGUUAUUCUUUUACCCGAAAUAUUUCAUGCACACUACAGAAAAUGGCGAAACUCUCAUAAAAACUGAAUUCAUAAUGUAAUAUGAAUGUUUUUUUAUGAAUGAAAACAAUUAUAUGCCAUCAUUUACAUUUUGCAUCCACAACAUGAUAUUAUGUCCGGUUAAAAACAAGUCUUCUAAUGGAAAUAGUAACGUUAAAGCAUCAACUCAUACCAACUCAACACAAUGUGAUAUCAUAUCGUCUCCUAAAAAACAAUUAAGUUAGGUAAAAAAUAUUUUUUUCUAACUAUAUUGAAAACCAAUGCCAAUAUGUAAUCUGCAAUAAAUCAUUAUUAAAAACAACAAUUUUAAAUACAGUAAAAAAUAUUCCUAGUGUUAACCUUAUAAAUUAGAUACUUGCAAUAAAUCAUUUUCUCAAGCAUCAACUUUUAAUCAACACAAUAGUAUUUGUAACAAAUAUAACAUUUAUAUGGUUUUUCUCCAGUGUGAAUUUUUAUGUGAGCUUUGCUAGGUUAUCAAAACUCUCAUUAGAAAUCAUACGAUUCAUACUGAAGAUAAACCAUAAAAAUGGAUAUUUGCAAUAAAUCAUUUUCUCAAGCAUUAACUUUUAAUCAACACAAUAGUAUUUGUAACAAAUAUAACA